rnacentral:rRNA from 1 species
AGUUUGAUCCUGGCUCAGAUCGAACGCUGGCGGAUGUCGCUACUACGUGCAAGUCGAACGGCAGCACGGACUUCGGUCUGGUGGCGAGGGCGAACGGGUGAGUAAUGUAUCGGAACGUGCCUAGUAGCGGGGGAUAACUACGCGAAAGCGUAGCUAAUACCGCACAACACCCUUCGGGGGAAAGCGGGGGACCUUCGGGCCUCGCAAUUAUUAGAGCGGCCGAUAUCGGAUUAGCUAGUUGGUGGGGUAACGGCUCACCAAGGCGACGAUCCGUAGCUGGUUUGAGAGGACGACCAGCCACACUGGGACUGAGACACGGCCCAGACUCCUACGGAGGCAGCAGUGGGGAAUUUUGGACAAUGGGGAAACCCCGAUCCAGCCACCCCGCGUGUGCGAUGAAGGCUUCGGGUUGUAAAGCACUUUUGGCAGGAAAGAAACGGCACGGGAUAAUACCCCGCAACUGACGGUACCUGCAGAAUAAGCACCGGCUACGCCAGCAGCCGCGGUACGUAGGUAAGCGUUAAUCGGAAUUACUGGGCGUAAAGCGUGCGCAGGCGGUUCGGAAAGAAAGAUGUGAAAUCCCAGAGCUUAACUUUGGAACUGCAUUUUUAACUACCGAGCUAGAGUGUGUCAGAGGGAAAGGGAAUUCCGCGUGUAGCAGUGAAAUGCGUAGAUAUGCGGAGGAACACCGAUGGCGAAGGCAGCCUCCUCGGGAUAAAUACCGGACGUCACGCUGAAAGCGUGGGAGCAACAGGAUUAGAUACCCUGGUAGUCCACGCCCCAAACGAUGUCAACUAGCUGUUGGGGCCUUCGGGCCCGGUAGCGCAGCUAACGCGUGAAGUUGACCGCCUGUGAGUACGGUCGCAAGAUUAAAACCAAAGCGAAUUGACGGGGACUCGCACAAGCGGUGGAUGAUGUGGAUUAAUUCGAUGCAACGCGAAAAACCUUACCUACCCUUGACAUGUCUGGAAUCCCGAAGAGAUUUGGGAGUGCCCGCAAGAGAACCGGAACACAGGUGCUGCAUGGCUGUCGUCAGCUCGUAAGCCGUGAGAUGUUGGGUUAAGUCCCGCAACGAGCGCAACCCUUGUCAUUAGUUGCUGCCAAAGGGCACUCUAAUGAGACUGCCGGUGACAAACCGGAGGAAGGUGGGGAGGACGUCAAGUCCUCAUGGCCCUUAUGGGUAGGGCUUCACACGUCAUACAAUGGUCGGGACAGAGGGUCGCCAACCUCGAGGGGGAGCCGUUCCAGAAACCUGAUCGUAGUCCGGAUCGCAGUCUGCAACUCGACUGCGUGAAGUCGGAAUCGCUAGAACGCGGAUCAGUACGCGUCAUGGUGAAAUACGUUUCCCGGGUCUUGACACACCGCCCGUCACACCAUGGGAGUGGGUUUUACCGCAGAAGUAGUUAGCCUAACCGUAAGGAGGGCGAUUACCACGGUAUUCACACUGGGGUGAAGUCGUAACAAGGUAA